GUAUAUAGACUUUGGUCACAAACAAUCGGUAUGUCAAACAAAAUGAAGUAGAAUGUGUUUUCUAUGUUUGGGUACGAAGCUGAAUAAAACAAUAGUUUUAAAAUACUUUGUUAAUGUAUCCAAUGUCAAAGUAAAAACAAACAAGGUCAACGAUUACGCAUAAAUCAUCAUCAGUUAGAGGAAACAUUCACAUUGGUGCUUUUAAGGGAGAAUUCUCUUUCAGCAUUGUGCUAAUUGCCAACGUUAAAAAAUAUCAGCUUAAAGGGUAAAUAAUGGGAAGACGCUUUGUGAUGGAUAAGAAA